rnacentral:lncRNA from 1 species
AAGGCUGUAUGUUGUCACCCUGCUUAUUUAACUUGUAUGCACAGUACAUCAUGUGAAAUGCCAAGCGAGAUGAAUCACAAGCUGGAAUCAAGACUGCUAGGAGAAAUAUCAAUAACUUUACAUACGUAGACUGCAUUACUCUAAUGGCAAAAAGCUAAGAGAAACUAAAGAGCCUCUUGAUGAAAAUGAAAGAGAAGAGUAAAAAAGCAGGCUUAGAGCUCAACAUUCAAAAAGCUAAUUGGAUUAUGGCAUCCAAUCCCAUCACUUCCUGGCCAAUAGACAGGAAAAUAAAAUAAUAAUGGAAACAGUGACAGACUCCAGGAGAUCAUGAAGGACGGGGAAGGCUGGCGUGUGGCAGUCCAUGGGGGUUGCAAAGAGUCAGACACAACUUAGCAACUGAACAACCACCACCACCCAGUUUUCAACCAAGUGAGAGACACAGAGAAAGCCACUGGGUGGGAGACGAGCAGUAAGCAAGCCCUGGCAUGAGGUCAGGACAAAGGAGACCGUCCACCAGGCUUCAUGGAGCACACUGAGGGGGUAAGGGGCCUUUCAAAAUGGGGACGGAAACAGCUACCUGGAAACCCCACCUUUACUCUAAUCAGCCAAAGAGCCAAAGAGUGAGUUGCCCUGUUGGGAAGAACUCCCAGGAAGCAAAUGGUGAGCACCUGUCUAGAGCUUCCUAACGCGCCAUCUGUUCCCAGGGGACUCAGGGAUCAUGGACAUCAGUGAGCACAUCCACAUUCCUCUCGGGAACGAGGGAAAGAGCCAUUUUCUUUCUCAGAUAAACUUUUCUUUCUGUAAUUCCAGAAUGUGCUCGGGCCG